AAUAUUAAACAUUAGACCUUUCCCCUUAUAACCGAAAUUUUGAUCUAGGCAAGUCUAGACAAAUAUUUCAUCACAGCUUGAAAGAGCAUCACAAAAUUAGUAAUAUUCCAAAGUUUCGUUGAGAAAUGUUGUAAAAUGAGUAAAAUAGAGCCUUGCGAAGUUUGCAAUUUUCAGUCAUUUUGCAUUACAAACGGGAAAUUGCAGCCCCAACACCCGAAUCGGAU